rnacentral:rRNA from 1 species
AGUCUGGUGCCAGCAGCCGCAGUAAUUCCAGCUCCAAUAGCGUAUAUUAAAGUUGUUGCAGUUAAAAAGCUCGUAGUUGAAAUUUUGAUUGUAGCGGUCAGUCUCACAACAGUGAGUGCUAGAUGUGCUGUGGUCAUGUUUCGUUGGAACGUGUGUGGCAUUGAGUUGUCGUGCAUGGGAAGACGAUCGUUUACUGUGAAAAAAUUAGAGUGUUCAAAGCAGGCUUAUGCCGUUGAAUAUAUUAGCAUGGAAUAAUAAGAUAGGACCAGGGUACUAUUUUGUUGGUUUGUGCACCUUGGUAAUGAUUAAUAGGGACAGUUGGGGAUAUUCGUAUUGCGGUGUCAGAGGUGAAAUUCUUGGAUUUCCGCAAGACUAGCUACUGCGAAAGCAUUUAUCAAGGAUGUUUUCAUUAAUCAAGAACGAAAGUUAGGGGAUCGAAGAUGAUUAGAUACCAUCGUAGUCUUAACCAUAAACUAUGCCGACAAGGGAUUGGCAGGGUGUGUUUAUGCCUCUGUCAGCACCUUAGGAGAAAUCAUAAGUUUUUGGGUUCCGGGGGGAGUAUGGUCGCAAGGCUCAAACUUAAAGACAUUGACGGAAGGGCACCACCAGGAGUGGAGCCUGCGGCUUAAUUUGACCCAACACGGGAAAACUUACCAGGUCCAGACAUAGUGAGGAUUGACAGAUUGAGAGCUCUUUCUUGAUUCUAUGGGUGGUGGUGCAUGGCCGUUCUUAGUUGGUGGAGUGAUUUGUCUGGUUAAUUCCGUUAACGAACGAGACCCCCGCCUGCUAAAUAGAUGGUCUAGUGAUUUUUCACUGGAAACAUCUUCUUAGAGGGACGUGCGUUCUAUUAGACGCAGGAAGAUGGGGGCAAUAGCAGGUCUGUGAUGCCCUUAGAUGUCCUGGGCCGCACGCGCGCUACACUGAUGCAUUCAACGAGUUGCCUUCACCGAGAGGUGUGGGAAAUCUUGGAAUGUGCAUCGUGAUAGGGAUAGAUUCUUGUAAUUUUUAAUCUUGAACGAGGAAUUCCUAGUAAACGCAGAUCAUCAAUCUGCAUUGAUUACGUCCCUGCCCUUUGUACACACCGCCCGUCGCACCUACCGAUUGAAUGGUCCGGUGAAGCCUCGGGAUUGUGAUGACUUUUCUUCAUUGAGAGGUCGUUGCGAGAACUUGUCUAAACCUUAUCAUUUAGAGGAAGGUGAAGUC